rnacentral:rRNA from 1 species
UACGUAGGGGGCAAGCGUUGUCCGGAUUUAUUGGGCGUAAAGAGCGUGUAGGCGGCCAUGUAGGUCCGUUGUGAAAACUCGAGGCUCAACCUCGAGACGCCGAUGGAAACCAUGUGGCUAGAGUCCGGAAGAGGAGAGUGGAAUUCCUGGUGUAGCGGUGAAAUGCGCAGAUAUCAGGAAGAACACCGAUGGCGAAGGCAGGUCUCUGGGCCAUAACUGACGCUGAGAAGCGAAAGCAUGGGGAGCGAACAGG